UACGGAGGGAGCGAGCGUUGUUCGGAAUCACUGGGCGUAAAGGGCGCGUAGGCGGCCGAGUAAGUCGUGUGUGAAAGACCGGGGCUCAACUCCGUGUACUGCAUGCGAUACUGCCCGGCUAGAGAAAGGUAGAGGCGAGUGGAAUUCCCGGUGUAGCGGUGGAAUGCGUAGAUAUCGGGAAGAACACCUGUGGCGAAGGCGGCUCGCUGGGCCUUUUCUGACGCUGAAGUGCGAAAGCGUGGGGAGCAAACAGGAUUAGAUACCCCCGUA
rnacentral:rRNA from 1 species